ensembl:antisense Gm43803 predicted gene 43803
UCUCAAAACAGACAAAAACUGUCCAGCAGGCCCGCAAGACACCUAACUGUUCACAGAUGGCCCUGGAGGUUGCUCUCAGGAAGACAGUAACUAGACACAGGGUUUACAAAAGUUCCUGAGCCUAAAUGUACAGAAAACGAGACAGCAGUGAAAGAGUUAAAGAAAACAAGACUAAGACAACACAGGACUCAGAAAUGUGGCUGACCACCUGACCAGAGCGGGGAGACCAGGGUCUGGAGUGACUGGUUACCUCUCUCUCCUUCCCACCCUCUCCAAACCCGCUGCUGUAGAACAAAGACAGAUCUUUGUAACAUUUCGGGUCCUGAUCUCCCCACACCCUGUGAGCAACUGUCAAACUACGUUAGAGGCCACUCUGAAGACCGACCGACCAGGGACAGUUGCAGUCUGAGAACCUGGAGGUUAAUUCCUCAACACAUAGAGGGAUAUAGUCUUUAAUGAUCACAUUGCUAAUUUUAGUAUUUAAGGCUUACUUGGAAAUAAUCAUAUCCCUUCACAUAUUCAUCUGCUAAUCAUCUAUGUAGAUAAAAAGCUAAGAGAAAAAUACACAAUUUCCUAAUGG